rnacentral:rRNA from 1 species
AAGCCAUGCGAGUUGAUGGGAUACCCAAAGUUCCCAUGGCAAACUGCUCAGUAACACAUGAUCAACUUACCCUAUAGAGAAAAAUAACCUCGGGAAACUGAAGAUAAUGUUUCAUAGUUGAAUUGGCUUGGAAAAGUUUUUCGACGAAAGGGGUAAAAAGAAUGGUUUUUAUCUGCUAUAGGAUAGGAUCGUGUUCGAUUAUGGUUGUUGGUGAGGUAAUGGCUCACCAAGCCGAUAAUCGAUAGGGGCCGUGAGAGCGGGAGCCCCGAGAUGGGUACUGAGACAACGACCCAGGCCUUACGAGGCGCAGCAGGCGCGAAACCUCCGCAAUACACGAAAGUGUGACGGGGUUACCCAAAGUAUUCAAUUUUGAACUGUGGUAGGUGAGUAAUGUUCCCUACUAGAAAGGAGAGGGCAAGGCUGGUGCCAGCCGCCGCGGUAAAACCAGCUCUUCAAGUGGUCGGGAUAAUUAUUGGGCUUAAAGUGUCCGUAGCCGGUUUAGUAAGUUCCUGGUAAAAUCGGGUAGCUUAACUAUCUAUAUGCUAGGAAUACUACUAUACUAGAGGGCGGGAGAGGUCUGAGGUACUACAGGGGUAGGGGUGAAAUCUUAUAAUCCUUGUUGGACCACCAGUGGCGAAGGCGUCAGACUGGAACGCGCCUGACGGUGAGGGACGAAAGCCAGGGGAGCGAACCGGAUUAGAUACCCGGGUAGUCCUGGCCGUAAACGAUG